GCCAUAUUAAGCAAGAGCUAACAGCCAAAUUUCAUAGCCAAUAAUCAAAAUGGGUCUAUCUUUCUCCUUCCGAUUCCUUGUAGUUCUUGCAUUCAUAGCUUCCAUCUUGUCCGUGCAGAUGACUGAGGUCAACGCAGAAAUGAAGAUGAGAAAACUAGGCAGCAAACCCUUGCCAAGCCCACCUCCUCCUCCAGUUCCAAACAAGAAGAAGAGUCAUAUUCCACCUGAGGCACCACCUCCAACUUAGUCUUGUCAAACAAGUUAUGGAAUAUCUAGUAAGAUUUUGUAACUAAUAAAAUGUAGAACUUUGCAACACUUCUGUUCUACAAGAGAAGGAACUGCAUGCAUAUCAAUUACGGUAGUGAGUGACUAUUACAAAUCAAAGAUGAUUUUGGACCCAAAGUCCACAUCAACCAACAACUAAAUUAAAUUCAAUCAUGAUCAUUGAACUUGUCA